CCCCUAGAUGUUCUGGGCCGCACGCGCGCUACACUGAACAGUUCAACAAGUCUUAACCUUGGCCGAUAGGUCUGGGUAAUCUUUGAACGUGAAUCGUGAUGGGGAUAGAUGAUUGCAAUUAUUCAUCUUCAACGAGGAAUUCCUAGUAAACGCAAGUCAUCAGCUUGCAUUGAUUACGUCCCUGCCCUUUGUACACACCGCCCGUCGCACCUACCGAUUGAAUGGUCCGGUGAAAUCUUCGGAUCUGAGAGAUGUCUGAUUAAUUUCGGACGCCUUUUGGAAAAGUUGUUUAAACCUUACCAUUUAGAGGAAGGUGAANUCGUANCA
rnacentral:rRNA from 1 species